rnacentral:misc_RNA from 1 species
AACGCACAUUGCGCCCUAUGGUAUUCCGUAGGGCAUGCCUGUCUGAGCGUCAACUCCCACCCUCUCAAGUCUUUCUUUUGCUAGGAGAUUUGGAUUGCUUUGAGGAAGUAUCAUUUUUUUUAUGCUGCUCCUCAGAAAUUUAUAGGCAGUAUGGUCAAACCUGAACCAGGCGUAAUAAUUCUAUAAAAUCGUCUAAUGAAAGGAAAGUCUGUAUUAGUCUUUAACCAAUUUCUAUUUUUUUUUUUUGGGUGACCUCAGAUCAGGUAGGGAUACCCGCUGAACUUAA